AACGAACGCUGGCGGCAUGCCUAACACAUGCAAGUCGAACGGGAUCCUAGCUUGCUAGGUGAGAGUGGCGGACGGGUGAGUAACACGUGGGAAUCUGCCUUUUGGUUCGGGAUAACCGCGGGAAACUGCGGCUAAUACCGAAUGCCCUCGAGAGAGGAAAGAUUUAUCGCCAGAAGAGGAGCCCGCGUCCGAUUAGGUAGUUGGUGGGGUAAAGGCCUACCAAGCCGACGAUCGGUAGCUGGUCUGAGAGGAUGAUCAGCCACACUGGGACUGAGAUACGGCCCAGACUCCUACGGGAGGCAGCAGUGGGGAAUAUUGGACAAUGGGGGCGAACCCUGAUCCAGCAAUGCCGCGUGAGUGAUGAAGGCCUUAGGGUUGUAAAGCUCUUUUGCCAGGGAAGAUGAUGACUGUACCUGGAGAAUAAGCCCCGGCUAACUUCGUGCCAGCAGCCGCGGUAAU
rnacentral:rRNA from 1 species